ensembl:lncRNA
CCCGCCCCCGGUUUGGCUGACGUGAAGAGGAGCGAAGAUGGCGGAAUGAGGGUCUUCGUGAACAAGCGGCCUCAGGGACCAGGGCGGUCCAGCCCCGGAGAGGGCGAGUGUUUCUGUUGGGCUGUUUGAGGAUCCUUUAACACACAGGAAGAAGAUUUUCCUGACCUUUAGGUGCUCAAAGUAAUUCUGAACUCAGGAUUUGGCAAGAUUUAAGUUCUCCCUCCCAGAGACAAAGGUCAGUGAAAUUCUUCAUGGCACAACAUAGAGUAACCCUGAUUCAUUCUUGGAGAGGGCUAUAAAAGGUCAGGAAAACCAGAGGGAGCACUUCUCGGGGAACUGUCUUGAAGGCUAACACUUGAACUCCUUGUCUCACAGG